UACGAAGGGGGCUAGCGUUGCUCGGAAUCACUGGGCGUAAAGCGCACGUAGGCGGCUUUCUAAGUCAGGGGUGAAAUCCUGGAGCUCAACUCCAGAACUGCCUUUGAUACUGGGAAGCUCGAGUCCGGAAGAGGUGAGUGGAACUCCGAGUGUAGAGGUGAAAUUCGUAGAUAUUCGGAAGAACACCAGUGGCGAAGGCGGCUUACUGGUCCGGUUCUGACGCUGAGGCGCGAAAGCGUGGGGAGCAAACAGG
rnacentral:rRNA from 1 species